rnacentral:rRNA from 1 species
GACUUCGGUCUCUGAGUAAAGUGGCGAACGGGUGAGUAACGCGUGGGUAACCUGCCCUUAGGUUGGGGAUAACUCGGGGAAACCCGGGAUAAUACCGGAUAAGCCCUCGGAUUUGAUUUCGAGGGGAAAGCUUUCGAGUGCCUUUGGAGGGGCCCGCGUCCGAUUAGCUGGUAGGGGAGGUAAGAGCUUCCCUAGGCGACGAUCGGUAGCCGGUCUGAGAGGACGGACGGCCACACUGGGACUGAGACACGGCCCAGACUCCUACGGGAGGCAGCAGUGGGGAAUUUUGCGCAAUGGGGGCAACCCUGACGCAGCAACGCCGCGUGGAGGAAGAAGGCUUUCGAGUCGUAAACUCCUGUCCCCGGGGACGAAGCAAGUGACGGUACCCGGGGAGGAAGCCCCGGCUAACUCCGUGCCAGCAGCCGCGGUAAUACGGGGGGGGCGAGCGUUGUUCGGAAUUACUGGGCGUAAAGGGCGCGCAGGCGGCGGCAGAAGUUCUGGGUGAAAGCCCCCGGCUUAACCGGGGAAGGUCCUGGAAAACCAUGCGGCUGGAGUGCUGGAGAGGCUAGCGGAUUUUCGGGUGUAGCGGUGAAAUGCGUAGAUAUCCGAAGGAACACCGGAGGCGAAGGCGGCUAGCUGGACAGACACUGACGCUGAGGCGCGAAAGCCU